UUAAGCGACUAAGCGUACACGGUGGAUGCCCUGGCAGUCAGAGGCGAUGAAGGACGUGCUAAUCUGCGAUAAGCGUCGGUAAGGUGAUAUGAACCGUUAUAACCGGCGAUUUCCGAAUGGGGAAACCCAGUGUGAUUCGUCACACUAUCAUUAACUGAAUCCAUAGGUUAAUGAGGCGAACCGGGGGAACUGAAACAUCUAAGUACCCCGAGGAAAAGAAAUCAACCGAGAUUCCCCCAGUAGCGGCGAGCGAACGGGGAGGAGCCCAGAGCCUGAAUCAGUGUGUGUGUUAGUGGAAGCGUCUGGAAAGGCGCGCGAUACAGGGUGACAGCCCCGUACACAAAAAUGCACAUACUGUGAGCUCGAUGAGUAGGGCGGGACACGUGGUAUCCUGUCUGAAUAUGGGGGGACCAUCCUCCAAGGCUAAAUACUCCUGACUGACCGAUAGUGAACCAGUACCGUGAGGGAAAGGCGAAAAGAACCCCGGCGAGGGGAGUGAAAAAGAACCUGAAACCGUGUACGUACAAGCAGUGGGAGCCUCUUUAUGGGGUGACUGCGUACCUUUUGUAUAAUGGGUCAGCGACUUAUAUUCUGUAGCAAGGUUAACCGAAUAGGGGAGCCGAAGGGAAACCGAGUCUUAACUGGGCGUUAAGUUGCAGGGUAUAGACCCGAAACCCGGUGAUCUAGCCAUGGGCAGGUUGAAGGUUGGGUAACACUAACUGGAGGACCGAACCGACUAAUGUUGAAAAAUUAGCGGAUGACUUGUGGCUGGGGGUGAAAGGCCAAUCAAACCGGGAGAUAGCUGGUUCUCCCCGAAAGCUAUUUAGGUAGCGCCUCGUGAAUUCAUCUCCGGGGGUAGAGCACUGUUUCGGCAAGGGGGUCAUCCCGACUUACCAACCCGAUGCAAACUGCGAAUACCGGAGAAUGUUAUUACGGGAGACACACGGCGGGUGCUAACGUCCGUCGUGAAGAGGGAAACAACCCAGACCGCCAGCUAAGGUCCCAAAGUCAUGGUUAAGUGGGAAACGAUGUGGGAAGGCCCAGACAGCCAGGAUGUUGGCUUAGAAGCAGCCAUCAUUUAAAGAAAGCGUAAUAGCUCACUGGUCGAGUCGGCCUGCGCGGAAGAUGUAACGGGGCUAAACCAUGCACCGAAGCUGCGGCAGCGACACUAUGUGUUGUUGGGUAGGGGAGCGUUCUGUAAGCCUGUGAAGGUGUGCUGUGAGGCAUGCUGGAGGUAUCAGAAGUGCGAAUGCUGACAUAAGUAACGAUAAAGCGGGUGAAAAGCCCGCUCGCCGGAAGACCAAGGGUUCCUGUCCAACGUUAAUCGGGGCAGGGUGAGUCGACCCCUAAGGCGAGGCCGAAAGGCGUAGUCGAUGGGAAACAGGUUAAUAUUCCUGUACUUGGUGUUACUGCGAAGGGGGGACGGAGAAGGCUAUGUUGGCCGGGCGACGGUUGUCCCGGUUUAAGCGUGUAGGCUGGUUUUCCAGGCAAAUCCGGAAAAUCAAGGCUGAGGCGUGAUGACGAGGCACUACGGUGCUGAAGCAACAAAUGCCCUGCUUCCAGGAAAAGCCUCUAAGCAUCAGGUAACAUCAAAUCGUACCCCAAACCGACACAGGUGGUCAGGUAGAGAAUACCAAGGCGCUUGAGAGAACUCGGGUGAAGGAACUAGGCAAAAUGGUGCCGUAACUUCGGGAGAAGGCACGCUGAUAUGUAGGUGAAGUCCCUCGCGGAUGGAGCUGAAAUCAGUCGAAGAUACCAGCUGGCUGCAACUGUUUAUUAAAAACACAGCACUGUGCAAACACGAAAGUGGACGUAUACGGUGUGACGCCUGCCCGGUGCCGGAAGGUUAAUUGAUGGGGUUAGCGGUAACGCGAAGCUCUUGAUCGAAGCCCCGGUAAACGGCGGCCGUAACUAUAACGGUCCUAAGGUAGCGAAAUUCCUUGUCGGGUAAGUUCCGACCUGCACGAAUGGCGUAAUGAUGGCCAGGCUGUCUCCACCCGAGACUCAGUGAAAUUGAACUCGCUGUGAAGAUGCAGUGUACCCGCGGCAAGACGGAAAGACCCCGUGAACCUUUACUAUAGCUUGACACUGAACAUUGAGCCUUGAUGUGUAGGAUAGGUGGGAGGCUUUGAAGUGUGGACGCCAGUCUGCAUGGAGCCGACCUUGAAAUACCACCCUUUAAUGUUUGAUGUUCUAACGUUGGCCCCUGAUCGGGGUUGCGGACAGUGUCUGGUGGGUAGUUUGACUGGGGCGGUCUCCUCCUAAAGAGUAACGGAGGAGCACGAAGGUUGGCUAAUCCUGGUCGGACAUCAGGAGGUUAGUGCAAUGGCAUAAGCCAGCUUGACUGCGAGCGUGACGGCGCGAGCAGGUGCGAAAGCAGGUCAUAGUGAUCCGGUGGUUCUGAAUGGAAGGGCCAUCGCUCAACGGAUAAAAGGUACUCCGGGGAUAACAGGCUGAUACCGCCCAAGAGUUCAUAUCGACGGCGGUGUUUGGCACCUCGAUGUCGGCUCAUCACAUCCUGGGGCUGAAGUAGGUCCCAAGGGUAUGGCUGUUCGCCAUUUAAAGUGGUACGCGAGCUGGGUUUAGAACGUCGUGAGACAGUUCGGUCCCUAUCUGCCGUGGGCGCUGGAGAACUGAGGGGGGCUGCUCCUAGUACGAGAGGACCGGAGUGGACGCAUCACUGGUGUUCGGGUUGUCAUGCCAAUGGCACUGCCCGGUAGCUAAAUGCGGAAGAGAUAAGUGCUGAAAGCAUCUAAGCACGAAACUUGCCCCGAGAUGAGUUCUCCCUGACUCCUUGAGAGUCCUGAAGGAACGUUGAAGACGACGACGUUGAUAGGCCGGGUGUGUAAGCGCAGCGAUGCGUUGAGCUAACCGGUACUAAUGAACCGUGAGGCUUAACCUU
rnacentral:rRNA from 1 species